rnacentral:rRNA from 1 species
UACGAAGGGUGCAAGCGUUAGUCGGAAUUACUGGGCGUAAAGCGUGCGUAGGCGGUUUCUUAAGUCCGUUGUGAAAGCCCUGGGCUCAACCUGGGAACUGCAGUGGAUACUGAGAGGCUAGAGUGUGUCAGAGGAUGGUGGAAUUCCCGGUGUAGCGGUGAAAUGCGUAGAGAUCGGGAGGAACAUCAGUGGCGAAGGCGGCCAACUGGCCCGAUACUGACGCUGAGGCGCGAAAGCGUGGGGAGCAAACAGG